rnacentral:rRNA from 1 species
GACAGAGGGGGCAAGCGUUGUUCGGAAUUACUGGGCGUAAAGGGCGCGUAGGCGGUCAGACCAAGUCGAGUGUGAAAUUCCAGGGCUUAACUCUGGCACGCUCGCUCGAUACUGGUCGGCUAGAGUGUGGAAGAGGAUGCUGGAAUUCCUGGUGUAGCGGUGAAAUGCGCAGAUAUCAGGAGGAACACCGGUGGCGAAGGCGGUUCUCUGGGCAUGAUCUGACGCUGAGGAGCGAAAGUGUGGGGAGCGAACAGG